AUUAAUUGCAAUUCAUCUGAUUUCUCUUCAUAAAAUUCUGGAGUAUAUGCAAAUGACCAUCAUACAAACUGAGGCAGCAGACUUAGUGAAAAUGAAUAUUUGUCAUUCUCAAAACUUUUGGCCAAGACUGUACAUUGUGCUAAAAUGGUCUCUACUGGUGCAGUGGUCUAAGGCACGGCAUCUCGGUACUCGAUGUGUCCCUACAGAUCCUGGUUCGACCACGGGCAGUAUCACAACCGGCCAUGAUCGGGAGUACAAUAGGGCGGCGCGCAAUUGGUGCAGCGUCGUCCGGGUUGGGGGGGGUUUGGCUGGGGUAGAUUGCCUAAGUGUUACUGAAUGAAAGCUGUAGUACAGAGUUACAGAAUGUCAAAGCAGUGCACUACAUAGACCCAGAAUGAGAGAACUCCUUUAUGCACAGAGGCUUGCUUAUUCUGUGGAUCUGGAAUGGGCAGCCCAAGUUUUCUGGUGCUAGGGUCCUGGUCAUUUUAUUUUCAGUUGAGGAAGGUUCCGCAUCGGCAAGCCGCAACACAUAACACGCGGGACCAGAGCUUAUUUUUUUUUAUGCUGGGAAAGAAUGAAGAAAAGCACAGCGGUUUAAUGUAAACCAAUCCAUUCGACUCUUAGCAAGCAUACUCAUUUUAUUAUUCAAUUAUUGCUAGUCAUUAUUUGGACUUGAUUUGUAUUAUUUAUUAUCUUCAGUUUAUCUGUUGAACACAUCCUGACAAUUUUUCUAAUUUAACUCUUAAUUUGUCAUUGUUUUUUGAAAGUGUGAUCAUAUCAGAUAAACACAAAAUAUGACCACCUCCACCAUCCUCUUCACAUUAUUUCGUCUGACAAGGGCCUCUGCAGCUCAACCUGUAUUACUAGAUUGACGACAACCUCACAGAGGUCCUUUCUAUGAAGGAGGAGCUCCAGCAAGCUGUCAUCUCACAGAGGUCCUUUCUAUGAAGGAGGAGCUCCAGCAAGCUGUCAUCUCACAGAGGUCCUUUCUAUGAAGGAGGAGCUCCAGCAAGCUGUCAUCUCACAGAGGUCCUUUCUAUGAAGGAGGAGCUCCAGCAAGCUGUCAUCUCACAGAGGUCCUUUCUAUGAAGGAGGAGCUCCAGCAAGCUGUCAUCUCACAGAGGUCCUUUCUAUGAAGGAGGAGCUCCAGCAAGCUGUCAUCUCACAGAGGUCCUUUCUAUGAAGGAGGAGCUCCAGCAAGUUGUCAUUAACAAGAAAUAUAACUUAACAUCAGGUGUAUGUAUGGAAGUGAACUAUUAACAAGAAAUAUAACUUAACAUCAGGUGUAUGUAUGGAAGUGAACUGUAACAAUACUCUCCAUGAGUUAUGCCAAUAUACUGUACUAAACAGAUUUACCUAACUUUAAUGUUUCAUUUUACUGCAUUUAUUAAUGUUUCUAUUUAAUAUUUCAAUUGAGUUUGUUUCCUUAAAUCGGAUUCGAUUUUGUUGCCAUCCUAGCUUUGUGCGAGUGUACAGUAAAAAGACCACUUCACAUCAGAUUGUCACAACCUUAUUUUUGUGUACUACUUGCAGUAACCUAAUAUACCCUGCAACUCAUUACAAAUUCUCCCAUUAAAUAAAAAAUACAAUUGCUUU